GGGUUGUGAGGUUAAGCGACUAAGCGUACACGGUGGAUGCCCUGGCAGUCAGAGGCGAUGAAGGGCGUGCUAAUCUGCGAUAAGCGCCGGUAAGGUGAUAUGAACCGUUAUAACCGGCGAUACCCGAAUGGGGAAACCCAGUGUGACUCGUCACACUAUCAUUAACUGAAUCCAUAGGUUAAUGAGGCGAACCGGGGGAACUGAAACAUCUAAGUACCCCGAGGAAAAGAAAUCAACCGAGAUUCCCCCAGUAGCGGCGAGCGAACGGGGAGGAGCCCAGAGCCUGAAUCAGCAUGUGUGUUAGUGGAAGCGUCUGGAAAGGCGCGCGAUACAGGGUGACAGCCCCGUACACAAAAGCGCAUGUGCUGUGAGCUCGAUGAGUAGGGCGGGACACGUGGUAUCCUGUCUGAAUAUGGGGGGACCAUCCUCCAAGGCUAAAUACUCCUGACUGACCGAUAGUGAACCAGUACCGUGAGGGAAAGGCGAAAAGAACCCCGGCGAGGGGAGUGAAAAAGAACCUGAAACCGUGUACGUACAAGCAGUGGGAGCCCCACCACCAAAGCAUUUGCUGUACCGCGUUGACGGAGCGAAGCGACGUCAAACCGAUAAAACAGCAGUGUAAAGUGAGCCGCAGGGCGCUUUGCGCGACAGCGCAAAGGCAGGCGGUUUCGCGUAGCGAAAGCGAAUGCUUUGGGGUGGGGUGACUGCGUACCUUUUGUAUAAUGGGUCAGCGACUUAUAUUCUGUAGCAAGGUUAACCGAAUAGGGGAGCCGGAGGGAAACCGAGUCUUAAUUGGGCGUUAAGUUGCAGGGUAUAGACCCGAAACCCGGUGAUCUAGCCAUGGGCAGGUUGAAGGUUGGGUAACACUAACUGGAGGACCGAACCGACUAAUGUUGAAAAAUUAGCGGAUGACCUGUGGCUGGGGGUGAAAGGCCAAUCAAACCGGGAGAUAGCUGGUUCUCCCCGAAAGCUAUUUAGGUAGCGCCUCGUGAAUUCAUCUCCGGGGGUAGAGCACUGUUUCGGCUAGGGGGCCAUCCCGGCUUACCAACCCGAUGCAAACUGCGAAUACCGGAGAAUGUUAUCACGGGAGACACACGGCGGGUGCUAACGUCCGUCGUGAAGAGGGAAACAACCCAGACCGCCAGCUAAGGUCCCAAAGUCAUGGUUAAGUGGGAAACGAUGUGGGAAGGCCCAGACAGCCAGGAUGUUGGCUUAGAAGCAGCCAUCAUUUAAAGAAAGCGUAAUAGCUCACUGGUCGAGUCGGCCUGCGCGGAAGAUGUAACGGGGCUAAACCAUGCACCGAAGCUGCGGCAGCGACACUGUGUGUUGUUGGGUAGGGGAGCGUUCUGUAAGCCUGUGAAGGUGUGUCGUGAGGCAUGCUGGAGGUAUCAGAAGUGCGAAUGCUGACAUAAGUAACGAUAAAGCGGGUGAAAAGCCCGCUCGCCGGAAGACCAAGGGUUCCUGUCCAACGUUAAUCGGGGCAGGGUGAGUCGACCCCUAAGGCGAGGCCGAAAGGCGUAGUCGAUGGGAAACGGGUUAAUAUUCCCGUACUUGGUGUUACUGCGAAGGGGGGACGGAGAAGGCUAUGUUGGCCGGGCGACGGUUGUCCCGGUUUAAGCGUGUAGGUGUGUGUUCUAGGUAAAUCCGGUUCACUUUAACACUGAGGCGUGACGACGAGGCACUACGGUGCUGAAGCAACAAAUGCCCUGCUUCCAGGAAAAGCCUCUAAGCAUCAGGUAACAUCAAAUCGUACCCCAAACCGACACAGGUGGUCAGGUAGAGAAUACCAAGGCGCUUGAGAGAACUCGGGUGAAGGAACUAGGCAAAAUGGUGCCGUAACUUCGGGAGAAGGCACGCUGACACGUAGGUGAAGUGAUUUACUCAUGGAGCUGAAGUCAGUCGAAGAUACCAGCUGGCUGCAACUGUUUAUUAAAAACACAGCACUGUGCAAACACGAAAGUGGACGUAUACGGUGUGACGCCUGCCCGGUGCCGGAAGGUUAAUUGAUGGGGUCAGCGCAAGCGAAGCUCCUGAUCGAAGCCCCGGUAAACGGCGGCCGUAACUAUAACGGUCCUAAGGUAGCGAAAUUCCUUGUCGGGUAAGUUCCGACCUGCACGAAUGGCGUAAUGAUGGCCAGGCUGUCUCCACCCGAGACUCAGUGAAAUUGAACUCGCUGUGAAGAUGCAGUGUACCCGCGGCAAGACGGAAAGACCCCGUGAACCUUUACUAUAGCUUGACACUGAACAUUGAGCCUUGAUGUGUAGGAUAGGUGGGAGGCUUUGAAGUGUGGACGCCAGUCUGCAUGGAGCCGACCUUGAAAUACCACCCUUUAAUGUUUGAUGUUCUAACGUGGACCCGUUACCCGGGUUGCGGACAGUGUCUGGUGGGUAGUUUGACUGGGGCGGUCUCCUCCUAAAGAGUAACGGAGGAGCACGAAGGUUGGCUAAUCCUGGUCGGACAUCAGGAGGUUAGUGCAAUGGCAUAAGCCAGCUUGACUGCGAGCGUGACGGCGCGAGCAGGUGCGAAAGCAGGUCAUAGUGAUCCGGUGGUUCUGAAUGGAAGGGCCAUCGCUCAACGGAUAAAAGGUACUCCGGGGAUAACAGGCUGAUACCGCCCAAGAGUUCAUAUCGACGGCGGUGUUUGGCACCUCGAUGUCGGCUCAUCACAUCCUGGGGCUGAAGUAGGUCCCAAGGGUAUGGCUGUUCGCCAUUUAAAGUGGUACGCGAGCUGGGUUUAGAACGUCGUGAGACAGUUCGGUCCCUAUCUGCCGUGGGCGCUGGAGAACUGAGGGGGGCUGCUCCUAGUACGAGAGGACCGGAGUGGACGCAUCACUGGUGUUCGGGUUGUCAUGCCAAUGGCACUGCCCGGUAGCUAAAUGCGGAAGAGAUAAGUGCUGAAAGCAUCUAAGCACGAAACUUGCCCCGAGAUGAGUUCUCCCUGAGACUUAGAGUCUCCUGAAGGAACGUUGAAGACGACGACGUUGAUAGGCCGGGUGUGUAAGCGCAGCGAUGCGUUGAGCUAACCGGUACUAAUGAACCGUGAGGCUUAACCUUACAACGCCGAAG
rnacentral:rRNA from 1 species